GAUGAACGCUGGCGGCGUGCCUAAUACAUGCAAGUCGAGCGAAGCGCGGCCGGGUGAGUACCACGUGGCUAACCUCCUAUACGCCCGGGAUACCUUCGGGAAACCGGAGCCAAACCGGCUACUUAUAGAUGGAUCCGCGCGGCACUAGCUAGUUGGUAGGGUAACGGCUUACCAGGGCAACGCUGCAUAGCCGACCUGAGAGGGUGAGCGGCCACACUGGAACUGAGACACGGUCCAGGCUCCUACGGGAGGCAGCAGUGGGGAAUCUUCCGCAAUGGGGGAAAGCCUGACGGAGCAACGCCGCGUGGGUGAUGAAGGUCUUCGGAUCGUAAAACUCUGUUAUUAGGGAAGCGGUACCUAGUCUGAAAGCCACGGCUAACUACGUGCCAGCAGCCGCGGUAAUAC
rnacentral:rRNA from 1 species